UACGUAGGCAGCAAGCGUUGUUCGGAGUUACUGGGCGUAAAGGGCGUGUAGGCGGUCAAGUAGGUGAGAUGUGAAAUGCUCCGGCUUACCCGGAGACCGGCAUCUCAAACCGCUUGGCUUGAGUACGGGAGAGGGUGUGGGAAUUCUUGGUGUAGCGGUGAAAUGCGUAGAUAUCAAGAGGAACACCUGAGGUGAAGACGGGUUGCUGGGCCAACACUGACGCUGAUGCGCGAAAGCCAGGGGAGCAAACGGG
rnacentral:rRNA from 1 species